rnacentral:rRNA from 1 species
UACGUAGGGGGCAAGCGUUGUCCGGAUUUAUUGGGCGUAAAGAGCGUGUAGGCGGCCAUACAGGUCAGCUGUGAAAACUCGAGGCUCAACCUCGAGACGUCGGUUGAAACCGUAUGGCUAGAGUCCGGGAAGAGGAGAGUGGAAAUUCCCGGUGUAGCGGUGAAAUGCGCAGAUAUCGGGAAGAACACCCGUGGCGAAGGCG